rnacentral:lncRNA from 1 species
GAAAACCCUGUCGAGCUCAUCACUGUCCCCCUGCAGCAUGACAAGGCAAGCAUCGACGUUGCACUCCUUGUAGCCAACCUUCGCCGUCUCCUUGCUGAUGUGGCUGUGCUUGGUCUCCUUCUUGCCGACGGAGGCAGCCGCGGAGGCGCCGCCGUAGCAGAGAGCCUGGAACUCGUUGAUGAUGAUGUCCUUGAGCUUGUUGUCCUCGUUGGGGAGGGCGAUGUUGAGCAUGUCGAAGCACUGGUUAACCUGGCAGACGGCGUCCUCGGGACCGCCGAGCUCGGCGUUGGGGUUGGACGAGUACUCGCGGGACUUGACGCACACGGUCUCGAAGGAUUCGCCAAAGAUGUUGUCGAUGUCCUCCUCGUCGCCGCGGAGCAUGGUGAGGCACGCGUCGAUGGUGCAGGCGUCGCCCUUGCCGAGGGUGGCAGUGGAGGAGGCGCCGCCGUAGCAGAGAGCCUGGAACUCGUUGAUGAUGAUGUCCUUGAGCUUGUUGUCCUCGUUGGGGAGGGCGAUGUUGAGCAUGUCGAAGCACUCCGCAACGUCGCAGAUGGCAUCCUCGGGACCGCCGAGCUCGGCGUUGGGGUUGGACGAGUACUCGCGGGACUUGACGCACACGGUCUCGAAGGAUUCACCGAAGAUGUUGUCAAUCUGCUCAUCGUCGGCGCGGAGAAGGACGAGGCACGCGUCGACGUUGCAC